rnacentral:rRNA from 1 species
CCAAUAGCGUAUAUUAAAGUUGCUGCAGUUAAAAAGCUCGUAGUUGAAUUUCGGGACCAAUAUGUCGGUCGUGCUUUUGUACGUACUGAUAUAAUUGGUUUCUCCCUUCUGAAGAACCUUGAUGUCAUUAAUUUGGUGUCUUGGGGAAUCAGGACUGUUACUUUGAAAAAAUUAGAGUGUUUAAAGCAGGCUCGCGCUUG